AAAUUCACAAGAUUUCUUUCCUCUGAAGAUAAAAGCUUUGAAGGGAGAAAAUUGAGGUUUUGAGAGGUAAGAAAACUUAGUGAAAUGAUGUAAGCAAGAAUGAUGGUGGGAAGGUUCAGAAAGAGAGGUCCGAGCAUCACAUGUCAUCACAGCGAGAGUAGGAGGUAGCAGAACAUUUGCUGCCUACAGAAGAACUUUAGCCCCGUAUCAUCAGCAGAGAGGUUCCAGGUCCUUAAAAUAAUAUCAUUCACAGAGAUACAGGCAGGAUGACAAAAAUCAAGGCCGACUGAUUUCAAGGACUUUUCUCUCAGUGCCGUAAAUACAUGGUCAGUAUGGGCAAAGUCUAGGAUCAAUUUCACAUUUCAUACCCCCCCAUCCUUAUGGGCAUUUAUUAUGAUUUAUUUUUAGUCUGGUAGAUAUUAGUUACAUAG